rnacentral:rRNA from 1 species
UACGGCGAGUGAAGCGGCAAAAGCUCAAAUUUGAAAUCUGGUACCUUCGGUGCCCGAGUUGUAAUUUGGAGAGGGCAACUUUGGGGCCGUUCCUUGUCUAUGUUCCUUGGAACAGGACGUCAUAGAGGGUGAGAAUCCCGUGUGGCGAGGAGUGCGGUUCUUUGUAAAGUGCCUUCGAAGAGUCGAGUUGUUUGGGAAUGCAGCUCUAAGUGGGUGGUAAAUUCCAUCUAAAGCUAAAUAUUGGCGAGAGACCGAUAGCGAACAAGUACAGUGAUGGAAAGAUGAAAAGAACUUUGAAAAGAGAGUGAAAAAGUACGUGAAAUUGUUGAAAGGGAAGGGCAUUUGAUCAGACAUGGUGUUUUGUGCCCUCUGCUCCUUGUGGGUAGGGGAAUCUCGCAUUUCACUGGGCCAGCAUCAGUUUUGGUGGCAGGAUAAAUCCAUAGGAAUGUAGCUUGCCUCGGUAAGUAUUAUAGCCUGUGGGAAUACUGCCAGCUGGGACUGAGGACUGCGACGUAAGUCAAGGAUGCUGGCAUAAUGGUUAUAUGCCGCCCGUCUUG